GUCCCUGUAGCGCAAUGAAUAGCGCGUUGGACUUCUAAUCCAAAGGUCGUGGGUUCGCAUCUCACCUGGGAUG
rnacentral:tRNA from 1 species